rnacentral:rRNA from 1 species
CCCUUAGAUGUCCUGGGCUGCACGCGCGCUACACUGAUGUGUCCAGUAAGCACCUAACCUCUUCCGAAAGGAACGGGUAACCUUUGCAAAGCACAUCGUGAUGGGGAUAGAUUAUUGCAAUUAUUAGUCUUGAACGAGGAAUUCCUAGUAAGCACAAGUCAUCAGCUUGUGUUGAUUACGUCCCUGCCCUUUGUACACACCGCCCGUCGCUACUACUGAUUGGAUGUUUAAGCGAGGUUCUCGAACUGCUAGUGACUGAUCUUCGGUGAGGUCGCAGUGUGGGAAGUGAUCCUAGCUUUGGUGUCUAGAGGAAGUAAAAGUCGUAACA